UUGAUAUGCUUUAUAAACUUCCAGCAACUUUCCCCGUUGACUAAAACCGCGAGCAAUUUCAAAGAAAAAUUAUGGAUUAUAAAGUGUACCUACUUGGAAUUCUAGUAACGGCAGCGAUUUUGCAAAUGGCUUUCGGAGGGAAAUUGAACAAGAAAUGCAUGCGAUGUGGCGGCAAGGGCAAGAAAGCCGAGAAGGGCUGUAGAGUUGACGGGAUAAAGYACAAAAUUGGUGAMAAGUUCAUCACCGCUGACUGCGAAAAGCACUGCCUUUGCCUGAAAGAUCACAUAUACAGUUGCGUUGACCUAUGUCCUCCAGUAGCAAUUCCUCGAUGCUGCUCCCGUGAAGUUUUAAAGAAACGGCAAAGGCCAGUUGGCGAUGGAAGGUGUUCUUGUACUGAAUACUAUUGUGCGCCGAAAACUGAGGAUCAGAAGGACAAGGCAAGAUUCGUGCUCGGCUGAGAGGCUCAGUGAAAACAUAUUUCGACACCCAAGCAUGUUACUUUUACAAAGUUAUGACAUUAAUAUCAAUAAAUGUUAUGAUGAUAAUGAUAUCCUUUCUUAUGGAAGAGCAUAUCAUAACUUACAAUUCGUAUUCCAUAAAUAAAUGGUUG